rnacentral:rRNA from 1 species
AUUGAACGCUGGCGGCAGGCUUAACACAUGCAAGUCGAGCGGAUGACGGGAGCUUGCUCCUUGAUUCAGCGGCGGACGGGUGAGUAAUGCCUAGGCAUCUGCCUGGUAGUGGGGGACAACGUUUCGAAAGGAACGCUAAUACCGCAUACGUCCUACGGGAGAAAGCAGGGGACCUUCGGGCCUUGCGCUAUCAGAUGAGCCUAGGUCGGAUUAGCUAGUUGGUGGGGUAAUGACUCACCAAGGCGACGAUCCGUAACUGGUCUGAGAGGAUGAUCAGUCACACUGGACCUGGGACACGGUCCAGACUCCUACGGGAGGCAGCAGUGGGGAAUAUUGGACAAUGGGCGAAAGCCUGAUCCAGCCAUGCCGCGUGUGUGAAGAAGGUCUUCGGAUUGUAAAGCACUUUAAGUUGGGAGGAAGGGCAGUAAGCUAAUACCUUGCUGUUUUGACGUUACCGACAGAAUAAGCACCGGCUAACUCUGUGCCAGCCGCCGCCGUAA